AGAUAACGGUAGAAUUAUAUAUAGUGACAGUCUGUCGCCAGGGAGGAAGACGUAUUUCCCAAGGAAGCUCUUGCUGGUACGUGUUAGGAUCAUGGAUGUACAAAUACUGAGCAGCCAGUUAAUUCCUAUGAGCUUCUGGGAGCAGGGGAGCUCUUCAGUGGAUUUGCAAAAUACCUGGCUUAGUGGGAAUGU